ACUCCUACGGGAGGCAGCAGUGGGGAAUAUUGCACAAUGGGCGCAAGCCUGAUGCAGCCAUGCCGCGUGUAUGAAGAAGGCCUUCGGGUUGUAAAGUACUUUUCAGCAGUGAGGAAGGUGGGUAUGUUAAUAGCAUAUUCAUUUGACGUUAGCUGCAGAAGAAGCACCGGCUAACUCCGUGCCAGCAGCCGCGGUAAUACGGAGGGUGCGAGCGUUAAUCGGAAUUACUGGGCGUAAAGCGCAUGCAGGUGGUUUGUUAAGUCAGAUGUGAAAAGCCCCGGGGCUCAACCUCGGAAUUGCAUUUGAAACUGGCAAACUAGAGUACUGUAGAGGGGGGUAGAAUUUCAGGUGUAGCGGUGAAAUGCGUAGAGAUCUGAAGGAAUACCGGUGGCGAAGGCGGCCCCCUGGACAGAUACUGACACUCAGAUGCGAAAAGCGUGGGGAAGCAAAACAGGAUUAGAUACCCCCGGUAGGCUCUGC
rnacentral:rRNA from 1 species